UAGGUUUAGGGUACAGGUUAGGGUACGACAAUGUGUUAGGCUUAGGGUACUUAUUAGGGUACAGAUUAGUGUUAGUGUAUGGGUUAGGAGUAGGUUAUGGUUCGGGUAAGGGUAAGGGUUAUAGUUAGGGUACGGGUUAGUGCUAGUGCACAGGUUAGUAUUAGGUUACGGGUUAGAGUAAGGGUUAGGGAACAGGUGAGCUUUAGGGACAGGUUAGUGUAUGACAACAACUUAGGGUUAGGGUACGGGUUAGUGUUAGUGUACAGGUGAGUAUUAGGUUACAGGUUAGGGAUCAGGCUUGGUUUAGGGUACUGUUAGGGUACAUGUUAGUGUUAGCAUAUGAAUUAGUAUUAGGGUACAGGUUGCUGUAAGGAUUAGGGUAACGGUUAUGGUUAGGGUUACGGUAAGGGUACGGUUUAGGGUACAGGUUAGUGUAUGACAACAGGUUAGGGUACAGGUUAGGAUGAGAGUAGGGGUUAGUGUAAGGUUUGGGCGGGGGGGUGGCCCUUUGCUGAACAUGCAAAGGACACAUUGAAAUAACAGUUUGGGCCUCAUGUUCUGUUAAAGGUGUUUGACCAGAGUGCACUUUCAACUGAAGCUAAAGAAGAAAUGUACAAACUGUAUCCUAAUGCCUGGAGGGCUCACCUGAAAACAGGAGGCAAUUUCCCUUACCUGUGCAGAAGUGCAGAGGUGAAUCUCUGUGUACAGGUAGGUCCUAGGUUGGAUCCCAGAGCACUUUGCACACAGAAUCUGGUUUGAAACAUAAAGGUUUCUUUUAUUUUUUGGUCGUCAAGUAAGAGAACUACAGAAUUCUCUGUAGGAAUGAAGCAUUGACUUGAUAUAUUGGUCCACAUUAGUAACGUACAGGAGAAUUCAAGCAUAUUAGAGUCACCUGAGGGGCUCUAUGCCCACUAUCCCUUUUCUAAGAACCACAGGCCUGAACUCACACACUGAAGCAGCCGUUUGGUACAAUGGGACGUUGGCUCCUGGACACAAUGAAUUCAGCCAGAGCGGGACACCAGACUUAAAUGGAGUCAAUCUGAAUCCCACGAAGGGACUUCUUGGUCUAAUUUUAAUGCAUUCAAACACACGCAC